rnacentral:rRNA from 1 species
AUUGAACGCUGGCGGCAGGCCUAACACAUGCCAGUCGAGCGAGCGGCGGACGGGUGAGUAAUGUCUGGGAAACUGCCUGCUGGAGGCGGAUAACUACUGGAAACGGUAGCUACAUCCGCAUCCCAUCAGCUGAGCCCAGAUGGGACUAGCUAGUAGGUGGGGUAACGGCUCACCUAGGCGACGAUCCCUAGCUGGGCUGAGCGGAUGACCAGCCACACUGUAACUGAGACACUGUCCAGACUCCUACGGGAGGCAGCAGUGGGGAAUAUUGCACAAUGGGCGCAAGCCUGAUGCAGCCAUGCCGCGUGUGUGAAGAAGGCCUUCGGGUUGUAAAGCACUUUCAGCGGGGAGGCGUUACCCGCAGAAGAAGCACCGGCUAACUCCGUGCCAGCAGCCGCGGUAAUUC